UCCGGACCCGCAGGGGCGGACGGGACAGUUGACUUCCGGGGAGGAACCGGCACGGCGCUGACUUCCGGACCCGCGAGGGCCAAUGGGACAGCUGAACUUCCGGGCCUGUCAUUCAGUCCUGAAGCUGGGAAGACGAGUAACGGUUUCCCCGCAGAGGCGCCUGCGAGCGGCAGAGGGCGCAGCGGCGGUCGGAGGGCAGAUACUCUCCACCAGUGGUUCCCAAACCUGAGCAUGCACCAGAAUCACCUGGCGGGCUUGUGGAAACACAGACUGUUGGGCCUGUUCCCAGCAGCGGGCAGGACCUGAAAAUGCAGAUGUGCUGAUGCUGCUGGUCUGGGAAUCACACUUGGACAACCUCUGCUGUAAGCUGCAACAGAAGUAGGUUCUGCCUGAACAUGGCAGGUUCCUGACCUGGUAAUGCCUCAGCUCACAUUCCAUCUUCUUGAAGUGCUUUCUCCUGUCAAGAUCCCACACCAUCUUGAAGGUCCCUUUGAACUGUUAGCACCUCCUUUAAGUUCUUCCUGCUUGAUGCAGGCGGAAGUGAUCUUAGUCCUUAGAAUUUAGGUAGAACUGAGUUGAUACCCAGAAAAUUCUACUUUGCAUUACAGUUUUUUGCAUAACUUCACCUUCCCUAUUAGAUUACAAACCAUUUAAAAAUGAAGCCUACAUUGGCAUUGUACUAACGUUUAAAGAGUGAACAACAAGUUCAUGCUGCAGAGCACAGGGAACAAUAUUCGAUUUGUAGUAACUUAUGUUGAAAAAGAAUAUGAAAACGAAUAUAUGUAUGUUCACGUAUGACUGAAUCACAGUGCUGUACACCAGAAAUUGAGACAACAUUGUAAAAUGACUGUACUUCAAUAAAAACGUAUAUAUUAAAAAAGUGAACAAA